rnacentral:rRNA from 1 species
GACGAACGCUGGCGGCGUGCCUAAUACAUGCAAGUCGAACGCAGUGGGGACGGGUGAGUAACACGUGGGUAACCUCCCAUCAGAGGGGAUAACACUUGGAAACAGGUGCUAAACCGAUACUGAUGGAUGGACCCGCGGUGCAUUAGCUAGUUGGUGAGGUAACAGCUCACCAAGGCCACGAUGCAUAGCCAACCGGAGAGGGUGAUCGGCCACACUGGACAUGGUAAACGGCCCAGAAUCGUACGGAAGGCAGCAGUAGGGCAUCUGCGGCAAUGGACGAAGGUCUGACCGAGCAACGGCGCGUGAGUGAAGAAGGUUUUCGGAUCGUAGAACUCUGUUGUUAGAGAAGCGGUAUCUAACCAGAAAGCCACGGCUAACUACGUGCCAGCAGCCGCGGUAAUAC